CAUUCGAUUAAAAUUCAUACAGCAAGUGUGAGUUGUAACUGUUUUCUUUUAUUGCUUUAAAAGACAGAUAUAUUGUAAACAUCCCACUACGUUAACACUGAAAGACAACAAUAGCUGUCCUUGCUCAACAACAACCCAUUUACGCACACACUUGCGUAGCAGCACUCGUGCUUUGUGAGUAACAUAUUUAAAUUGUAAAAGCGGUUGGUGGUUUAAAUCCAGUUUCUCCUGUAAUACUGGUUCUUCAUGGGUUUUCCCUUUGUAACUUACGCACUAUGGUCUGAUGUUGCAGAGCAGCAGGAACUUGUUUCUCUCAGGCAGCGCACAAACAGCACAGAACCAAGACAAGUAGACAUGUUGGACUUGCUGGGCGUCGUUGCUGGCCUCCUCUUCAUCAUAAUGUGCUUUUCAAAAGGACUCACAAAGGAAGGCAAACCCCAGAAACUACAACUACUUGAAGGCUCUGCCUACAACAAGAAAAAGGAUUUGACUGAAGAAGAUGUGCAUUUACUGGCCAAGAUCCUUUCAGUUGGAUUGGUGGAUGCAGACCCAAACUAUCUCCAGCAUCUUAAAGCCUACAGAGACUUGCAUCGUGCCUGAUUUAACAUACCGAAUAAGGAUAUUCACAGAAGUGGAAACACAGCACACAUCUUCAAAUAGGAUGCCAUCAAAUCCAGGAUCUUUAGUAUUGUGUUUUGGAUUAUCAAGGAUCGAUGCAGCCAGCAGGUGAAUCCAUCGUUAAUGGGUGAAAAUGCACUUUAUUCAGGCCAAACAUGACAUUGGUAAUGAAUUGCUUUGUGAAGAGAGGGACGUAACAGUGCUUAUUGUCGACUUGACGUUGAUGAUUCUGACUGCUUCUUGUAUUAUUCCUGGGUAAUUUGUGGGAAGAACCGUACUCUGAUUUUUGAUCUGUCACUGCUUAAAAUGAAUGUAAUUAUAAUAAUAAUACUAUAGAACGGGAGGAUUACUUGUGCAGUUGCUUUCAGUGGUACUUGCUUUACUGGACUUGCUUUAAUGUUUAAGUUGUUGUCUAUGUUAAUAGCCCACUCCUUUAUUGAGCUUUGCCCUCUAAUAUUCACAUUGAAGUACAAGUGUUACCUAAUAUAGCUGUUGGCUGAAUUUUCAUGGCAGAUUAAGCCAUUCACAAUGAAACUAAAACCAUGUAACAUUUUUUUAAUGACAAUAAUGAAAUAAAUGCUAAUUAGAUUUUAGCUGAACACUCAACAUUAACGUGAGUGUACUGUUUGCUGCAUACAAGUUUAAGGAUCAGCAAACUACUAAACUAUUAAUCAUUCCAGCCCAACGAAGGUUGUGCAUCAACACCCCGCAGUGUAUUUAUUUGAGCAAUGUCGCUAUUCAUUUCUUAUAAUUCUAACCUUUCAUUUAAAGAAGGAAUAUUGUGUUUCAAGUUGCAUAGUGUCCCUUUGAAGGUCUACUGUGCCUCCAUAUUUAUUUGCAGAGAGGCUGAAUUACUUUGCUGUUGUUGUCAUUUGGUUCAUGUCCUUCCCUGGAGUAAAGGAGACAAAAGAGAGAAUGAAACGAGACCAAAAUGUACAUGUCAUGCUAUGCUUGGCCCCACUGAUAAAUUCAAGGCCACUUACUCCAAACACGGCUGUUGAGUUUGUCUCCUAGCACGUAGAGGAAUACCACCACCGACAUGUUAAAAAAGAAGAAGCCCACCAGACCAGCUGUGCUGAAGUAGGCAAGGAGGGGGUACACCCAGAUCCCAACGGACAAGUACACCCACACAAUCCUGCAGAAUGUGUUUAGAAGGAAACAAAUAAACAGUCUCACUGUAUCUGU